ensembl:lncRNA
AUGCAGUUGCUCAUCAUAGCGUUCCAACCAAGUGCGCAGUUCAGAGACCUGGUAGCCGUCGGGGCCACGGCCACCUUGGUACAUAAUAGUGCCACUCUGGAUGACAUAGAGACGCUCGAAGUAGGCGCCAUAGGCCGAGCUGCUGGAGUUGGCCAUGGUGUCGAGGACCAGAGCGCAGCCGGGCGCGCCUUGCUGCAGUACCCUAGCUGCGCUGACCCGGUCUUCCAGGCUCCGGUGCUGCGGGAUGAUGUAGGGGGAGUCAGUGGUGACCCAGCCGUCGGAGGGGUGCGCUUCCUCGAUGUAGAUGAUGAGGAAGUCGACGUCGCGCUGGUACUUGGUGACCAGGCGCUGGAAGGCGCUCAUGCGCGCCAUGAACGGUGGUCAGGUGCAGCUGCCGAAAUUGAGAACCAGCGGGCGGUUCCCUUGCGCGUAGUCGAGGAUGCGCUGGCUCUGGAAGCCGUCGGGCAGAACCACCUCGGAGUUGGGCGCCGGACCGCCCUCGUGAGCCUGCUUGAAGAAAUCCAACUUCUGGCCAUGCCACACCGCCUUGAGCGACGCCAGGGUGCACAGGCGGUUGUCGUCGGACACGCAGAUGGGCGGGUCAUCGGGAGGCACCUCCUCGCCUUCACUGUUGAGCUCCACUUCGGGCUCGGGCUGCCCCCGGCGGCGGCGGCCCAGGAAAUGCUUGCGGAUGCACAAGAAAUCGAGGAGCCAAAGCAUGAAGGCCGUGCCGAGGAAGCGCGGGAAGAGCACGAGGCACGAGGCGGUCUGGGCGCAGAGCCUCAAGGAGUGAAGCAGCAGGGAGCGGAGCAUGGUGGCUGCAGGCCCCGAAGCCCCCUGGGACCCCUCGCCCUCUCCGACCACCAACCGCGACGCGGCCUGGCUAGGCAUCUGGGCUUCGGCAGUGCAGGGAGUUCAAUUUAUAGCCGAGGCUUCAAUUGGCGGGAGACUCCACCUCCGGCCCGGCCCGCCCCCUUGCAACUUGAGCCCGGAGGGAUCACCCAGCGGCGCGGCCAAUGCCCUAGAAAUCGUGGGCUGAGGGCGGGCGCAGGCGGGCGGAGGGCGGAGCGGCCGGGCCUGGGGCCGGUGGGGGCGGGCCCGGGCCCCGCAGCCAGCUCUCGGGGCCGGGGGACUCCGGUCGCCGCUGCCGCUGGGGAUCGGGAGCCCGACCCGGGACCUGGGCGUCCGCUGGGAGGUCCUCCAGCUGGCGCGAGCGCUGCACGCCGCCCUGGUCCCCGCCGCCUGGCUCCAGCCCGCGCCCCCCUCGCCGCGCACCUGAGCCGAGCUCCCCGGCGGCCGCCGAGCCGCGCCGGAGCUCCGGUUCGCUUCCCGCGCGCCGCCGCCAACGCCGCCCACGCCGCUGCCGCUCGUGCGGGGCCGCUGCCCAGGUGCCGCGGGAGGCCGGGUCCGCGGCCGCCGCUUCGGUGGCCCCGGCUCCCGCCCCACCGAGGACGCUGGCCCGCGAGGAGGCAACUUUGCGUUCCCGCCGCCUUCCCGGCUCGCCCGCGGGCGCCGCUCGCCUGCCGGAGCCCGCCCGCCCGCCUCCCGCGCGCGCUCACACUCGCGCCUCGCACACGGCCGCCCCCCGCACCGCCCCGCCACGCACACCGCGCUCCGCGCCCCCGCCGCUGCCCGAGGCUGCCGCGCGCUGCCCCAGCCCGCGCCCUGGCCGCGCCCCGUCCCAUCUCGUUCCAGCGGGGCGCCGCGGUUCCUGGGUCAGCGGCCGCCGGGGCCCGGCUGAGAGGUGCGGAGGGCAGAGCCCGCUGGCUGGUUACCGCCGGGCACCGGAGACCGGAGGGCUGGGGAAAGCGGCGCCGGCCCUGCGCCCUAGCCGACCCGGGCGCGGGGCGCCACGGGCGUGGGGCGCGGGGCAGCGGGCGCGGGGCGGCGCCGGGCGGCUCUCCCACUAGGGGUAGCUGUUGCCUGAACGCCGGAGCGCUCCCCUCUCGCCGCUUGCCUCGCCCAGCGCAGCCCCGGCCGCUGGGCGCACCCGUCCCGUUCGUCCCCGGACGUUGCUCUCUACCCCGGGAACGUCGAGACUGGAGCGCCCGAACUGAGCCACCUUCGCGGACCCCGAGCGCGGCGGCGCGACUCACCGCGGAGGCGCCCGGACGCGUCAAGGCAAAGCCUGAACCAGGCCAGGAGGGUCUGUCCCCCGUCUGGGGAGCUGAACUGCCCGGGACACUGUAGCAGUCGCGGCGAUUUGUCUGGAGCGGCGGGGCUUGAGCCCAAGUCCGAAGCCGCCGCCGCCAGCGUCCCGUGCGUCUGCCGCCCCGGGACCUGCCGCGGAACUUCUUCUCGGGACGCAGACCGCGCUAGCCGCCCGGGCCGAGGUAGGAGCUGGCUGGGCUCGAUAGGGCGCGGGCGAAUCGCUUUCGGCAGCGAAGGAACGUGUCGGGAGAAGCCAACCACAGGACCAGGGCCCUAGCGGGCGCGCGGAGACGCCUGCCUUGGGCGGAGGUCCCCCCCUCCAGUUUUCGUGGCUCUGGCAGGGCCCUCUGUCCCGUGAGCUCCCCACUGGACCUGUGGCUCCAGGCUUCAGCAGGUCAAGCGCCCGAGUGUGCUUGGAGGAUUGGCGGCGGGGUGGCAUGAGAAAGUGGCCCCUCUUCUCCAUCUCCCAGUCCGGCGAUUUCUCUGCUGUCUGGGGCAGGGGCGCACACCCCAGGAACUUACCACCUAGAGGGAAGCCAGCCUGGUCUCUCCCCCUUGCCUCAAUGCUCCCAAGCUGCCCCUCACCACUCUGGGUAGGGGUCUUUCAGGUGGGCUAGGGAAUUCUCCUUGGAAGGUCCCCUGUCUGCUGCCCUCCAUCAGGGCACCUGUGAGUUAGCUGGUCAUCUCCUUUUCUGGCCUUUUUGUGCGGGGAGGAGAGUAGAGAGAGAAGCCUCCUACUCGGCGGGUCUCUGAGAGGAGGUUUGGGGGGACUUCUGAGGUUGCCCCUCCUGGGCAGAGUCAAGGGGUGUUGAGGGUUCCAACUUUUACUGGACAAUCUCUCAAGCUCGGACUCCCUGAUUUCUGGGAGGUUUCAGUGUAGGGCUUGUGUCCUGCCCCCACCCACACAGCAUUUGGUGCAGGCACAUAGGAUGGUUCCCCAAGCCCUUUUUCCACAGUUAAUUUCAGAAAAUGCAUAAGCCACCUAAGGCUGGGAGAGCCUUUCUGUGCUGCCUGAGAUCUGGUGGCAUGUGCAUGCAUGUGUGUGCAAGUGUGUGUGUGUGCAAGUGUGUGUGCGCAUGUGCAUGUGUGUGGAAAUGGUCUGGGUGGCUGUAAGACUGGCCCCUCUAAGUCCCCUCUGCAGGCCCAGCCCAAUAAGAAGCACCUGAUCCACACUCUUUCUAGCCCCAGGGAUGCUCAGGGAAGCAGCCCUUCUUGAGGGCUGUCAUCUGUUCUGGGGAUCUAUGGCUGCUUCUUGGGCCCACAGACUAUACUCCAUACCUCCGGACUCCAUAAUAUUGGACAAGGCUGGAAGGCCCAUUUGGCUCCUGCAGCCUCUUGUGCAGUUGAGGACAGACCCAAGGUGCAGGUGAUACUGGCCUUUGGGACAUAGAACCUGGCUCAGUAACUCCCACUCCGGUCGCCUUUUCCCUCUUCUCAACCCUCUCUCCUCCGGAGCAACACUUGUCCCUCCUUCCUUCCUCUCUCUAGGGCUGCACCCCCAGCUCACCUUAGACCUGGCCCUUCCUACCUGUUGCCCCUACUGUCUUGUCCUGUCCCAGUGGUCAGGAGGGAGAGUACUGGCCAAAGGCCCAGCUCCACCUGUGACUCAGGGAAGCACCAGGCAUCACCCGGAGGUCUCGGCCCCCAGAGGCCUGGCAGGCUCUGCUGUGGGGGAAGCAGAGUUUGAACUGGGGCUGCUUCUCCUGCCCUGCAACCUGACUGGGCCUCCCCCGCCUCCCUUUCUGUCUGCCCUCUUACAAUUCCAGCAGGGGGCGGGCAGGGGAAAGAAAAGGAGGGACAAGUUGGACGGGGUCCAUUUGGUGUCCAGGAACAACUUGGAGAGAGGCAGGGAGGGGACAGGCAGCAGGGCCCUGGCAGAGCGAGGGGAGGGCUGGCCUUUGGAUGGCCUUCUGAUCCCAAACGCAUCCUCCUGGGGUAGUCUGCCCUUGAAAGGUAGGGCUUGGUGAACCCUGGUGCAGAGCCCCCCCGCCCUCGCCACCUCACUGCCCCAGUGCGGGGCAUGGUAGACGGGUUUGCAAUGGGUACAGUCUCUCUCUCCAUUCCAGUAGAGCAGCUCCCAGGGCCCAGAGAGGCUGUCACUGAGACUUCCCUCGGGUGGGGUGGGUCCUGGUGGCCCUGCGUUCCCCUGCAGGAGGACCUCCUGAGGCUUCGGGCAGGAGCUGGUGCACACCUGGAGGAGAGUGCUGAUGAACGACAGGUGUGUGCCUCAGUGUUCUUGCUGCCUGGGUGUCAACCCUGCUUCACCACUGGCCCUUUGUUUCCGUCCCCUCCACUGACCUCUUAAAGCACAGAGACCCUCCGGGUACUUUCCUUCCUCUGGGCUUCCGCUCAUGCUAUUCCCUGCUCCCUUCUUCUACCUGGAGACCCCCAUUCCUCCUCCUUCUCCACUGCCCUCACCUCCACCUGGGCCCUCUCAGCUCCCGGGAGAUGGCUGAACCCUACUCCCUGCCCGCUAGUCAUCCUCUUCGGCGGUCCUCCCGGAGCUGUCCUCAGCAUGGCAGCCUCCACAGCCCCUGGGUUUCACCCCUGGUUUCCAGUCUGUCUUGGACUCCAGACCUGCCCCUCCCACGCUGGCCCAGAUGGAUCCUCUGCAGUGACUAACCCGAACCGGCACCGGGUGAGGACCCAAUAAACCUUUGUGAAUGGAGUAAAUGAGUGCAGUGUGUACUUACUGAAAACUCUUGUUUGGGGAGAAACUCAGGGUAUUUCACUCUGUCCUUUCGUGCACCUGCAGCAGUGAGCCGGGGCAGCAUGUCGGCAGCCAGGGCUGAGCACCAUUGGUCAGGACCUGCCGCUGUGAGCAGACAACACUUCCUGGGAAGUCCCCUUGGGGCGUGGUGUCUGGUGAAUGCACCUGUCACCUGGUCACCGGGCCAAUCUGUUUCCCUUUCUGGGCUAAACAGGUCUUCCCGGGUACCUGGGCCCUCCCAUGGAGGUGUUUACACUUCUCAUUUGCUUCAAAAAUGAAUUCUUCUAUCCACACGCUUGUCUAGGUUGAGCAUGGGGACACCCUGCAGGGGAUGGGGCGGGAGAUGGCCGAGGGACCCAGAGCUCCGGUCUGAGAGGUGUCCUCAACAUGACAGAUCUUCAUCCCUCUGAAAGUUUGAGGCAGGCAUGGGGGAGGUGGCAGGACUCUGGGGUGACUGGGCAGGCUGGGAUCCCAGCCAGGACGGCUUGUCAGGGCCCCAGGGCCUGGAUCUAGCAGGGGUGUUUGGCAGCAUUUGGGGGUUGGAGAAGGUCUGGGACUCCCGGCCAAGGAACGGAGAAGGCCUAGGAGGCAGUGCUCUGGCUACUUGCUGUGUGACCCUGGGCAUCUCU